rnacentral:rRNA from 1 species
CUUGCAUCCAGUGACUUUCCAGAGAUGGAUUGGUGCCUUCGGAACAUUGAGACAGGUGCUGCAUGGCUGUCGUCAGCUCGUGUCGUGAGAUGUUGGGUUAAGUCCCGUAACGAGCGCAACCCUUGUCCUUAGUUACCAGCACGUAAUGGUGGGCACUCUAAGGAGACUGCCGGUGACAAACCGGAGAAAGGUGGGGAUGACGUCAAGUCUUCAUGGCCCUUACGGCCUGGGCUACACACGUGCUACAAUGGUCGGUACAAAGGGUUGCAAGCCGCGAGUGGAGCUAAUCCAUAAACCGAUCGUAGUCCGGAUCGCAGUCUGCAACUCGACUGCGUGAAGUCGGAUCGCUAGUAUCGCGAUCAGAUGUCGCGUGAUACGUCCCGGGUGUGUCACAC